AUGGCCGAGACGGCGUGGGAGCUCGCCGAACUAUUCGUCCUCCGCCCCGUCCUCGCCAUCUUCUUUGCCCUCUCAUUCAUCCUCCUGAGCUGGUAUGUGGCGUGGAGGACGGUGCUGGCGCACGUCCCGCUCGUGCAGGAGGUCGCCGGCCUGCGCCGGAACAAGAAGCCCGCCAAGCCCAAGCCUCCCAACCGCGGCCGCAUCGGCAGGUUCUACCAGUCGCAAGCGCAAGCGCAAGCGCAGAGGAACAGUAAAUCAGAAGGGGGCUCUUGA
rnacentral:rRNA from 1 species